GAUGAAGAACGCAGCGAAAUGCGAUAAGUAAUGUGAAUUGCAGAAUCCAGUGAAUCAUCGAAUCUUUGAACGCACAUUGCGCCCGCCAGCAUUCUGGCGGACAUGCCUGUUCGAGCGUCAUUUCAACCCUCGACCUCCCUUUGGGGAAGUCGGCGUUGGGGACCGGCAGCACACCGCCGGCCCUGAAAUGGAGUGGCGGCCCGUCCGCGGCGACCUCUGCGUAGUAAACCAACUCGCACCGGAACCCCGACGUGGCCACGCCGUAAAACACCCAACUUCUGAACGUUGACCUCGAAUCAGGUAGGACUACCCGCUGAACUUAAGCAUAUCAAUAAGCGGAGGA
rnacentral:misc_RNA from 1 species